CACGCACGCUCAGUCUCAGCCCUCCCCAGACUGAGUUUGCUUCCAGGGACCCCAAGUUGGUAAGGUAUUUGCAGCGGGACGAGGUUCUCGAGGCUCCCUGUGCUUUAACGACAGCGUCCUUUUGGCCUUUGAGUCAGUGGACAGAAGAGGAAAUUUAAGAAAAAGUAAUUGAGCCGGGCCUGGUGGUGCCUGCCUUUAACCCUGACACCAGGAAGGCAGAAGCAGCUCCUAGACACAAGCUGCUGCUAGGAAAGGAAUCCAUCCAUUAAGAACAAAAGUAACAGGAGGUGAGCAGUAGGCCUGUAGGUGGCGCUGUUGCUCUGGAGCACAUGGAGAAACUGAGUAGGAAAAUAUAAAUGUCAUCCUCAUCCCUCAUCAAGAAAACUUCUCUUUGCAACAGAUGGAGACCAUUGCAGAAAAUCACAGCCUAUCAAAAUGCAGAGUUGUGGAACACAGUCCCAAUAGAUACAUCUACAAAACAACUGCAUCCAGUGCUCAGAGAACAUUGUGGAGGAAAGGGGCAGAAAGACUGUAAGAAUCAGAGGAUCACGGAGUUUGCUUUGAGAUGGAGUUUUCUAGGAAUGAUAGAAGUGACACCUGUAAUUUCUCACCAAUGUGGCUGCCUAAACAUAAGUUGAACAAGAGAAACAACAACAGACAUGCCAACGUGGGUGAGGGAAAGACCAUGAAACUUCAACUAUACAUAAAGAACUACAGGCAACUAAGGAAUCCUGAGAGCAGAAGAAAGUCUUCCCCAGGGGAAAGCACACCAAUUGUCCAAUACCAAAUGGUCAACCCUGAGUAUAUGCAUAUGAGUGACAUUAUAUAAACAGGUUAUAUAUAUAUAUGGAAUAACAAUAAAAAAGCCAUAAAUUUGAAAGAAAGCAAAGACAGGGUAUCUGGAAGGGUUUGGAGAAAGGAAAGAAAAGAGAGAUUUUAAUCUAAAAAAUUUUUAAUUUUAAUUUUUAAUUUUAAUCUAAAAAAAACAAAGUAAUUUUAAAGACAUGCAUUUGUACUCAGCCCCCCUUUGAAUGAUUAUGACUGUCCUAUGAGCCUAUAACUCACAUGCAUUUUCCUGACUUCUAUCAUUAGAAUAAGUUCAUCAAGAUCAUGAAAAACUGUGCUUUUUAAAAAGAUUGUAUUAAAUAUACAAGUUGACUUUAGAAGAAUCAAGAUAUUAACUUAGCAUUUUUUUUAAUCAUAAUGAAAGAAAUAUUUUCUUGUCAGACCAUUUAAAACCUGCUUUGGAAAUGUUGGUAAUUUUCAUUAAAUGUACUUUAUAUAAUAAAAA
rnacentral:lncRNA from 1 species